GCAUGCAGCACCAGGGACAGUGAGUGCUUCCUUGCAAACCUCAACCCUUUGUGGCACCUCUGGGAGCCAUGGCUGCCCGUCUGGGUCCACAGGGACCAGAAUCGGGGUGGGUCAAGGCCUGCAUCCCACCGUGGUGUGCAGACCGCUCCUGGCUCCGCUCCUCUUCCCAGGUGAAUUCCCCCGCCCACUGCCAAACCACUGAGACAGAACACCCUGGAUUCUGCAAACUCCACAUAGAUUCAUAAAGUCCAGGAAGCCUUGUGUUGGCCGCCCAGUGAUGGCACAGGGGACGCACGGGAAGGGCUCUUGGCAGCCUCACCCAGGGAGGCUCUGCUUCUGCGCAGGAACCAGGCAGGCAUGGAGCAUGAUUUCUCAUCUGUGCUCAAAUUCAAGUUCAGUGGUCCUCUGCUUGCCGAGGGAGGGAGGACAGACUCUCAAGGUCACCUGGGAGGCCCCUCCAGCUUCCUGAGGUCAGCAGGUGUCUGCAGCCUGCAGUGCUGGUCAGCAGGCUCAGAAAAGAAACUUUAGAGAAGCCAGCUCCAGACGUGGCCUCUCUGUCCAGGAGAGAACGGUAUGUAUCUACCGUGCUUCCCUUGGUCCCAAGGACUUUAUCAAGAUAAGAUGUGCUUGACCGUAGGUGUAGAAGACACAGUUGGUGUCCCAUCCUGGAAGGUUCUCUGCACGGGAGCUGCUUCCCAAAGGCAGCACCGGGCG